rnacentral:rRNA from 1 species
GGACCCGCACAAGUAGUGGAGCAUGUGGUUUAAUUCGAAGAUACGCGCAGAACCUUACCAACACUUGACAUGUUCGUCGCGACUCUAAGAGAUUAGAGUUUUCGGUUCGGCCGGACGAAACACAGGUGCUGCAUGGCUGUCGUCAGCUCGUGUCGUGAGAUGUUGGGUUAAGUCCCGCAACGAGCGCAACCCUCACUUUUUAGUUGCCAGCAUUAAGUUGGGCACUCUAGCGAGACUGCCGGUGAUAAGCCGGAGGAAGGCGGGGAUGACGUCAAGUCCUCAUGGCCCCUUAUGGGCUGGGCUACACACGUGCUACAAUGGCAGUGACAGAGGGACGCUACCAGGUGACUGGAUGCAAA